GUGACUGCGGCUGCAAAAGGAACAAUGCGGCACCACUCUCUCUUGUCGAUAACGAUUUAUUUUUAAACCUUGACUGGGGACUCGAGUGUCGUGCAGAAGUUAAAAACGAGCAACGUGACGGCGCCGGCGGCUGCAGCGGACUGAAAGUAAGUAAAACUUUGUUCCUGAAGAUUUGUUGCAGUGGGGUCUCCUCAACAGACGCUUUCAUUCCGACAUCCGAACCUCAAGUAAAGAUGCAGGAAGCCCCUACAAUUUGUGGAGAACAAGCAAUGUGUCCACACUGUGGUUGAAAGACAGCACAGAGAAAAGUUUAGGAAUGGUGAAAAAAAUUUGACCUCGAGAUUUUGAUGAAUUGUGACGUUUUAGACCUUCCGGAGUCCGAAAAUACCAUUUUUUUUUUUUUAAAUGUCCUGAUACCCCCCCAUCCCAAAUUUUGUUUUUCUAGUCAUUUAUUAUAGAAGUUCAACUGAUUGUAUGAAAAAAAAAAAAAA